GACGAACGCUGGCGGCGUGCUUAACACAUGCAAGUCGAACGGAAAGGCCCUGCUUUUGUGGGGUGCUCGAGUGGCGAACGGGUGAGUAACACGUGAGUAACCUGCCCUUGACUUUGGGAUAACUUCAGGAAACUGGGGCUAAUACCGGAUAGGAGCUCCUGCUGCAUGGUGGGGGUUGGAAAGUUUCGGCGGUUGGGGAUGGACUCGCGGCUUAUCAGCUUGUUGGUGGGGUAGUGGCUUACCAAGGCUUUGACGGGUAGCCGGCCUGAGAGGGUGACCGGCCACAUUGGGACUGAGAUACGGCCCAGACUCCAACGGGAGGCAGCGGUGGGGAAUAUUGCACAAUGGGCGGAAGCCUGAUGCAGCAACGCUGCGUGCGUGAUGACGGCCUUCGGGUUGUAAACCGCUUUCGCCUGUGACGAAGCGUGAGUGACGGUAAUGAGUAAAGAAGCACCGGCUAACUACGUG
rnacentral:rRNA from 1 species